GUGGGUUAAACCAAAUUAUAUUUCUCGUUCUCGUUCUAUUUUUCUGUUUCUAUUUUUCUGUUUUUUCUAUUUUUCUGCUACUCCCCUAACAAUAAACAGAAAAAUAGAACGAGAACGAGAAAUAUAAUUUGGUUUAACCCAC
rnacentral:miRNA from 1 species